rnacentral:RNase_P_RNA from 1 species
UGAACCAGACCGCCGCCCGGCCGCGGAACUUUGUUUCCGCUCCGGGAGGAAAGUCCGGGCUCCGCAGGGCAUGAUGCCGGGUAACGCCCGGGCAGAGAGCCGUAAUCGGAAGGUUUUCCCGAAGAUAUUCGGUUUUUUGACAGACAGCGCAACAGAAAGUAUACCGCCCGCAAGCGGACGCUUGCGCCGCUUACGGGUAAGGGUGAAAUGGCGGGGUAAAAGCCCGCCGCGGCGGCGGCAACGUUGCCGGCACGGCAAGCCUCAUCAGGAGCAAAGUCAAGCAGCGUGGUGAAUGGUUCGCCAUUCGCGCCGGCGGCCCGCCGGUUAAACGCGGGUAGACUGCACGGAGAGCGGCCGCGAGGCUGUUCCCAGACAGAUGACGGUCGAACACAGAACCCGGCUUAUGGUUCAUCGU